GGUGAAUGUUUCUCCAUGGCAAGUGACCCUUACAAGUGCCAGCAGGGAUCCAUUGCAAUGCUGAGUUCUAGUUCCUAAGUUCUGUGCGCCUGUGCGUGUACGUAUCUGCAUCAUCCGUUACUUACCUGUAAGCGAAAGUGACGUUCUGGGAAGAUGUUGCUUCACGUGCCUCUAGAUGACUGCCUAUUCCCUUAGAUUGGGAAACUGGUUUUAAAUGAGUUAUCACAUCCAGGCCUUAUGAUUUUGUUGUCGUUGUAAGCCUGACCCGUUAACAUUAGAGAUUGAGGUCUCCACUUUGAACUGGGCUUCAGUGUCUCUUAGGAUGCUCCUGUUUUUCGGAACCAGCAGGUGGCAUGGUGGUUAGGGCGCUGGACAC